UAUGAGUUGAGAUACGGACACAAAAAUAGAGCCGGGAAAGGUGAAAUGUGAAGCCAAGCGUGAAGUCGUGAAGCCUAUAUGCAAAGAGUAGCAUAUCAUAGUAGACUGUAGUAGGCAUAUUUGAGUUGUAGUAGUGUAAAGAUUGUAAUAGACUAAUUUAGUGUUUUUUUGGACGAAUUUUAUUUGUUCUGUGAUCUGUUCAAAAUAUUGA